UACAUGGGGUGCAAACGUUGCUCGGAAUUAUUGGGCGUAAAGCGCGCGUAGGCGGUUACUUAAGUCGGAUGUGAAAGCCCUCGGCUUAACUGAGGAAGUGCAUCCGAAACUGAGUAGCUAGAGUACGAAAGAGGGUCGCGGAAUUCCCGGUGUAGAGGUGAAAUUCGUAGAUAUCGGGAGGAACACCAGUGGCGAAGGCGGCGACCUGGGCCAAUACUGACGCUGAGGUGCGAAAGCGUGGGGAGCAAACAGG
rnacentral:rRNA from 1 species